GACAGUAGGUUGACACCACUCACCAUGCCGGUGCCGUUACAGUAGUGACAGUAGGUUGACACCACUCACCAUGCCGUUACAGUAGUGACAGUAGGUUGACACCACUCACCAUGCCGUUACAGUAGUGACAGUAGGUUGACACCACUCACCAUGCCGGUGCCGUUACAGUAGUGACAGUAGGUUGACACCACUCACCAUGCCGGUGCCGUUACAGUAGUGACAGUAGGUUGACACCACUCACCAUGCCGGUGCCGUUACAGUAGUGACAGUAGGUUGACACCACUCACCAUGCCGGUGCCGUUACAGUAGUGACAGUAGGUUGACACCACUCACCAUGCCGGUGCCGUUACAGUAGUGACAGUAGGUUGACACCACUCACCAUGCCGGUGCCGUUACAGUAGUGACAGUAGGUUGACACCACUCACCAUGCCGGUGCCGUUACAGUAGUGACAGUAGGUUGACACCACUCACCAUGCCGGUGCUGUUACAGUAGUGACAGUAGGUUGACACCACUCACCAUGCCGGUGCCGUUACAGUAGUGACAGUAGGUUGACACCACUCACCAUGCCGGUGCCGUUACAGUAGUGACAGUAGGUUGACACCACUCACCAUGCCGUUACAGUAGUGACAGUAGGUUGACACCACUCACCAUGCCGGUGCCGUUACAGUAGUGACAGUAGGUUGACACCACUCACCAUGCCGGUGCCGUUACAGUAGUGACAGUAGGUUGACACCACUCACCAUGCCGGUGCCGUUACAGUAGUGACAGUAGGUUGACACCACUCACCAUGCCAGUGCCGUUACAGUAGUGACAGUAGGUUGACACCAGUCACCAUGCCGUUACAGUAGUGACAGUAGGUUGACACCACUCACCAUGCCGGUGCCGUUACAGUAGUGACAGUAGGUUGACACCACUCACCAUGCCGGUGCCGUUACAGUAGUGACAGUAGGUUGACACCACUCACCAUGCCGGUGCCGUUACAGUAGUGACAGUAGGUUGACACCACUCACCAUGCCGGUGCCGUUACAGUAGUGACAGUAGGUUGACACCACUCACCAUGCCGGUGCCGUUACAGUAGUGACAGUAGGUUGACACCACUCACCAUGCCGGUGCCGUUACAGUAGUGACAGUAGGUUGACACCACUCACCAUGCCGGUGCCGUUACAGUAGUGACAGUAGGUUGACACCACUCACCAUGCCGGUGCCGUUACAGUAGUGACAGUAGGUUGACACCACUCACCAUGCCGGUGCCGUUACAGUAGUGACAGUAGGUUGACACCACUCACCAUGCCGGUGCCGUUACAGUAGUGACAGUAGGUUGACACCACUCACCAUGCCGUUACAGUAGUGACAGUAGGUUGACACCACUCACCAUGCCGGUGCCGUUACUGUAGUGACAGUAGGUUGACACCACUCACCAUGCCGGUGCCGUUACAGUAGUGACAGUAGGUUGACACCACUCACCAUGCCGGUGCCGUUACAGUAGUGACAGUAGGUUGACACCACUCACCAUGCCGGUGCCGUUACAGUAGUGACAGUAGGUUGACACCACUCACCAUGCCGGUGCCGUUACUGUAGUGACAGUAGGUUGACACCACUCACCAUGCCGGUGCCGUUACUGUAGUGACAGUAGGUUGACACCACUCACCAUGCCGGUGCCGUUACAGUAGUGACAGUAGGUUGACACCACUCACCAUGCCUUUACAGUAGUGACAGUAGGUUGACACCACUCACCAUGCCGGUGCCGUUACAGUAGUGACAGUAGGUUGACACCACUCACCAUGCCGGUGCCGUUACAGUAGUGACAGUAGGUUGACACCACUCACCAUGCCGUUACAGUAGUGACAGUAGGUUGACACCACUCACCAUGCCGUUACAGUAGUGACAGUAGGUUGACACCACUCACCAUGCCGGUGCCGUUACAGUAGUGACAGUAGGUUGACACCACUCACCAUGCCGGUGCCGUUACAGUAGUGACAGUAGGUUGACACCACUCACCAUGCCGGUGCCUUUACAGUAGUGACAGUAGGUUGACACCACUCACCAUGCCGGUGCCGUUACUGUAGUGACAGUAGGUUGACACCACUCACCAUGCCGGUGCCGUUACAGUAGUGACAGUAGGUUGACACCACUCACCAUGCCGGUGCCGUUACAGUAGUGACAGUAGGUUGACACCACUCACCAUGCCAGUGCCGUUACAGUAGUGACAGUAGGUUGACACCAGUCACCAUGCCGUUACAGUAGUGACAGUAGGUUGACACCACUCACCAUGCCGGUGCCGUUACUGUAGUGACAGUAGGUUGACACCACUCACCAUGCCGGUGCCGUUACAGUAGUGACAGUAGGUUGACACCACUCACCAUGCCGGUGCCGUUACAGUAGUGACAGUAGGUUGACACCACUCACCAUGCCGGUGCCGUUACAGUAGUGACAGUAGGUUGACACCACUCACCAUGCCGUUACAGUAGUGACAGUGGGUUGACACCACUCACCAUGCCGGUACCUUUACAGUAGUGACAGUAGGUUGACACCACUCACCAUGCCGUUACAGUAGUGACAGUAGGUUGACACCACUCACCAUGCCGUUACAGUAGUGACAGUAGGUUGACACCACUCACCAUGCCGGUGCCGUUACAGUAGUGACAGUAGGUUGACACCACUCACCAUGCCGGUGCCGUUACAGUAGUGACAGUAGGUUGACACCACUCACCAUGCCGGUGCCGUUACAGUAGUGACAGUAGGUUGACACCACUCACCAUGCCGUUACAGUAGUGACAGUAGGUUGACACCACUCACCAUGCCGGUGCCGUUACAGUAGUGACAGUAGGUUGACACCACUCACCAUGCCGUUACAGUAGUGACAGUAGGUUGACACCACUCACCAUGCCGGUGCCGUUACAGUAGUGACAGUAGGUUGACACCACUCACCAUGCCGGUGCCGUUACAGUAGUGACAGUAGGUUGACACCACUCACCAUGCCUUUACAGUAGUGACAGUAGGUUGACACCACUCACCAUGCCGGUGCCGUUACAGUAGUGACAGUAGGUUGACACCACUCACCAUGCCGGUGCCGUUACAGUAGUGACAGUAGGUUGACACCACUCACCAUGCCGGUGCCGUUACAGUAGUGACAGUAGGUUGACACCACUCACCAUGCCGGUGCCGUUACAGUAGUGACAGUAGGUUGACACCACUCACCAUGCCUUUACAGUAGUGACAGUAGGUUGACACCACUCACCAUGCCGGUGCCGUUACAGUAGUGACAGUAGGUUGACACCACUCACCAUGCCGUUACAGUAGUGACAGUAGGUUGACACCACUCACCAUGCCGGUGCCGUUACAGUAGUGACAGUAGGUUGACACCACUCACCAUGCCGGUGCCGUUACAGUAGUGACAGUAGGUUGACACCACUCACCAUGCCUUUACAGUAGUGACAGUAGGUUGACACCACUCACCAUGCCGGUGCCGUUACAGUAGUGACAGUAGGUUGACACCACUCACCAUGCCGGUGCCGUUACAGUAGUGACAGUAGGUUGACACCACUCACCAUGCCGGUGCCGUUACAGUAGUGACAGUAGGUUGACACCACUCACCAUGCCGGUGCCGUUACAGUAGUGACAGUAGGUUGACACCACUCACCAUGCCGGUGCCGUUACAGUAGUGACAGUAGGUUGACACCACUCACCAUGCCGGUGCCGUUACAGUAGUGACAGUAGGUUGACACCACUCACCAUGCCGGUGCCGUUACAGUAGUGACAGUAGGUUGACACCACUCACCAUGCCGGUGCCGUUACAGUAGUGACAGUAGGUUGACACCACUCACCAUGCCGGUGCCGUUACAGUAGUGACAGUAGGUUGACACCACUCACCAUGCCGUUACAGUAGUGACAGUAGGUUGACAC